CCCUGCACUUUGGGAUAAGCCUGGGAAACUGGGUCUAAUACCGAAUAUGACCAUGCGCCUCCUGGUGUGUGGUGGAAAGCUUUUGCGGUGUGGGAUGGGCCCGCGGCCUAUCAGCUUGUUGGUGGGGUAAUGGCCUACCAAGGCGACGACGGGUAGCCGGCCUGAGAGGGUGACCGGCCACACUGGGACUGAGAUACGGCCCAGACUCCUACGGGAGGCAGCAGUGGGGAAUAUUGCACAAUGGGCGCAAGCCUGAUGCAGCGACGCCGCGUGAGGGAUGACGGCCUUCGGGUUGUAAACCUCUUUCAGCACAGACGAAGCGCAAGUGACGGUAUGUGCAGAAGAAGGACCGGCCAACUACGUGCCAGCAGCCGCGGUAAUACGUAGGGUCCGAGCGUUGUCCGGAAUUACUGGGCGUAAAGAGCUCGUAGGUGGUUUGUCGCGUUGUUCGUGAAAACUCACAGCUUAACUGUGGGCGUGCGGGCGAUACGGGCAGACUUGAGUACUGCAGGGGAGACUGGAAUUCCUGGUGUAGCGGUGGAAUGCGCAGAUAUCAGGAGGAACACCGGUGGCGAAGGCGGGUCUCUGGGCAGUAACUGACGCUGAGGAGCGAAAGCGUGGGGAGCGAACAGGAUUAGAUACCCUGGUAGUCCACGCCGUAAACGGUGGGUACUAGGUGUGGGUUUCCUUCCUUGGGAUCCGUGCCGUAGCUAACGCAUUAAGUACCCCGCCUGGGGAGUACGGCCGCAA
rnacentral:rRNA from 1 species